rnacentral:rRNA from 1 species
ACGGGAGGCAGCAGUGAGGAAUAUUGGUCAAUGGUCGGAAGACUGAACCAGCCAUGCCGCGUGCAGGAAUAAGGCCCUAUGGGUCGUAAACUGCUUUUGUGGUGGAGCAAUAAGGCGUACGUGUACGUCGAUGAGAGUACAUCACGAAUAAGCAUCGGCUAACUCCGUGCCAGCAGCCGCGGUAAUACGGAGGAUCCGAGCGUUAUCCGGAUUUAUUGGGUUUAAAGGGAGCGUAGGCGGAAGGUCAAGUCAGCUGUGAAAUGUAGUCGCUCAACGUCUGCACUGCAGUUGAAACUGGCCUCCUUGAGUGCGUAAGAGGCGGGCGGAAUUCGUCGUGUAGCGGUGAAAUGCUUAGAUAUGACGAAGAACUCCGAUUGCGAAGGCAGCUCGCUGGGCCGCAACUGACGCUGAAGCUCGAAGGUGCGGGUAUCAAACAGGAUUAGAUACCCUGGUA